UGAACUUGGACUCAUGUCCUUACAAGGUUGUAGCCAUUACAGCAACCGGGGCUUUUCCAUUUAAAAUCCCUGAAGGCUGAUUUGGAUGGAUGUCCAAGUGGGUGCAUAUGUCCCAGUGCUCCCCCAAAUUAUGAGAUAUGUGUAGUCGUGUCUAGGCCCGAAUAGUGGAAGAGAGAUAGCUCUAUCUGCCAUGAUUGGGAGACUUGUGUAGUGACUAGCAGUGUAAGAGUAUGACUGGUGGCGGAGUGCAUACCUUUUUUUGUGAGCACAGCUUGAUGGCUACAUGUUGUGAAUGGGGUGUUGAGAGUUUUGUUUACUGGAUGGUUGAUAUGGGGUUGGGAGUGAGGAGUGUAUAGUGGUCAUGGGUGUAUAUACUCUAAAAUAGCAUCAUCUCUAUGUAGAUUCCAUAAUAUAUGGGUUUCCAGGUACAUCACAAGUAGGAAGACCCUGGAAUUUAUUUUCCAAACUGGAAGAGUUUUAAAAAGUAAAAGAGGGCAUUGCUAAUAUUUUGCCUGGGCCACACACAUAAACCAGCAGUUUCAGGCAACCAGAACCGUGGAGUAACUCCAUUUGUAAGGCACCAUUGAAUUGCUUAGGUGUGUUUUCCAUUGUGUUUUGCUCUGAGUUGGGUUUAGGUUGAGGCCAUGUCUGUUGGGGUUGGUGCUUUAGGGGAGUGGCAGAGGGUGCCUCUUUGGUGGCAGAAUAAUCGUGACAUCUGUCACAUGUUGGAAAAAGCAGCCACAUGGUGGAAUAAACAGCCCCCUGGCUCCAGGGUCAGAGUUGUCCUGGUUGUGUGCCCCUGUCUUGAUGCUGGGGGACUUUGGUGUUCACUCCAGGAGUUACUGGAGACAGGAGGCCCAGCCAGUGAAGCAAACCCCUGGGCUGCUCCAGGGAAGGAAGGAAAGACCCCAUCGAGGAAAUCUUCAGAGUUGCUUCCAGGCUUUGCUGUGUGCCUGUGCAGCGAGUCCGGAGGCAGACUCUGUUCCAGUACGAUUGGGUCUGUCCUGGACUUGCCCAGGCCUCAGUUUACCUCUGUGUAACACUCAGGGAAGAAUAGUAUCUAGUAAUGAGAGUGUUAAUGCUUGAGACAGUGUCGGGAAUGAACUGUAUAAGAACAGCAUGCCUUCUUUUCCAUUUUCCUCCUUCCUUCUCUCUCCACCCCCCAUCUAUCAAGUGACUUUGUUUCUAAAGACCUCAGAUCUUUGUUUCCUAGUCACUAAUCCCUCCACAUCAGCAAUAGUUUACCUCUGUCAUGGCACCCCAAGGUUUAGGAGGAAAGGAGAGGGGUCGUCCCUCCAAAGCUUGGCCAGCGUGUCCUGCAUGGAGGUCCCUCCCCGGUGCUCCAGGCCCUGGUUUUCUCUCCAGUUCACUCUGGGAUCCACAGCAAGCAGUGAGCUCUCUGGAAUAACACCUACAAGAAUUGUGUCUUGGCUGCUUUCCCCAGAGGUCCUCUUUCCCACCUCCUCCCUGAAAACGAAGAACUCCCCCAUGCUGCCAACAACUAGAUGUAAACAGAAAUUAAUCCAUCUGUGCCAAACCUCAACAUGUCACCUGAUCCUUAUCACUGCCUCAUAAUCGCCUCCAAGGAAGAUCUUAUUAUAUUAAAAAGCAAUUGCCCUCUAUGCUGGUAACACUAAUAGAUUUUUGUGUGAUAUUUAUACAGGAUUUCGUUGUCAGCUCACGAGAUGCUGUUCCCUUCCUUCUGCCUCUUUCCUGCUCCCUUCGUCUUUGCCCAAGUCUCCUAUGAUUUCAGUUUCCUGCAGGUCGCUGUCUGCAAGGUGAUCGGCUCCAUGAGGGCAAUGCACCUGACUUCUUGACUGUUGUAUCGUCAGCAUGGGAAGCAUGCUUGGAGCAUAGUAGGCAUACCAUUUCAUCUAGCAACUUCAUUCAUUCAUUCAACAGAUGGAGCUGAGGUCUGGAGGGGGAGAUAUGCCAAAAACCAAACAAAUAAAUAAAAUAAUAAACAGUUAUCAGGGCUUUGAAAUAAAUAAGUAGGGUUUUGAAAUAGAGGAUAAUCAAGUUUUGGGGGUCUACUCAGAAUGGAAGGCUGGAAUGUUUGCUCUGAGACCUAAAGAAUGUGAGGAGCUGAGGUGAGGGGAAGAGUGUUCUAAGUCGAGGACACAGUCCUACCUGGGGGUUGUGAAGUGGAGAACAAACUCGGCACCUUUGAGGGCCUGAGAAAGGCUCCCUGUGGACAGACCUUCAUGAAGGGAGGCAGAGGGCAUUGGUCAAGUUUGGAGGGGCAGGCAGGAGCUAAGCCAUUUCAGAAAUGUCUGGGGUGGUCAGAGCAUUCAGGGAUGUGAACAUGUGAUUGGACGUAGAAUUUGGGAUCCUUCACAUUCCAAGCAUAAAUAUCGAUGUGAAUGAGAGACCAAGCUCCUGGGAAGUCUGUGGUGUGGAAAUGCAAGGUGAAGUUGGUGAAGAGUGGAAUUUGAACUGGGGAUGCCAGAAUUUCUGGGCCUUUUCUUCUCCCUCACACGGACUGACACUCAUUUCUUCAUGUCCUUUGUUCCUCAAUGUUUACUGAGAUGAUAUCAACAUAUACAGGGAAUUUGGACUCAGAAGGCUCGUGCUCAGAUGGUGGCAGAAGUUGAAAUCAGGGCCUAGCUGAAGCCUUGUGAUAAGUUGAAAAGACCCAGGUUUCCAAAAACAGCCACAAUCGUAACAAUGGCAAUGACAGCCCAUUCUUACCUUCUGGGCUCUUUGGUGUCAGUAAAUUCAAAGCAGUUUCAACUGAAAAUAGAUUUGAUGGUGAGAGCCAAGCCCGUAACAUACCCUUCAUCAGCUAUGGUCUUGUCAAUUACGCAUCAGAAGUGGCUGCUGAUGAGGGAUUCCAGGGUGAAGCCCGAACAGGUGGCGAGGUGCCAGAGCCCAAUCUGAUUGGUGGAAGAUACCCGUUCAGAGUCUGGGGAAAUGUAACCUGCACAGAGAAUCACCCAGCUCCAAGAGAACUUGGGCUUUCAUCUGCAGUGAGGGAAGAGAUGGGAGAGUUGUUUGGACACAUGGAGCAACUCAUUAAUUAGAAGUUAAAUGUCCCCCUUUCUCUGCCAGCUCUGAAUACAUUAAAGUGAAAACAUGAGAUCAAGCACAUUCUUUUCGUUCUCUAUUUCUAAACAUUCCUUGCAUUGAAACCCUCAUGUUUCUUUAUUCCAUGACAGCCGGAUCAUGUCAUGGGCAAACGUAAUCGGGAUGAUGGCCAAAGCACCAGAACUUUUUCUAAAAGAUGCUACUGAGGACUGGGGCUUGCUGUACAGGCUGGUAUCUCCUGGGGCUCACGUCUGAGGUUUGGGCUUCCAGUGGAGUUUCCACCUAGAAUGGAUGCUAGCCUGCUGUGGGGAAUGGACAGAUGGGUGGGUGCACCGUCAGAAGGGGAACUAGCUGGAGUCGAGGCAGGUUUGUGGCACCUUCCACACCUCCUGAUGGAGAUGAGUAAAAGCAUAAACGAUAGCAGUCUUCCCCACCAGCGCCUUGGGGAGGGGAGUGAUUGCAUGUCUGUUUUUGGCCAGAGUGCUUGGAGACAGGCAGCCUAGACAGACGAAACCUUUAUUAUCAAAAGGCAGCACUUGGUAACCCUCCUUCCUCUAUGACACCAGCCUCUCUGGUUGUCAGCUCAUAAAUGUGUCUCCCAGUUACAGAGCACAUGACGUAAUCCUGUCAGAUCUCCUCACUGCCCGUUGGGACAGAGUUGGCAGUUCUAACGGUUAUCCCUGUGGAGGGGGGAAGGCUAGGCUUGGGUCUGUCUCAGCUGUGCGAGUGACAAGGCAGCUUCACAUCUCUGUGCUUCCUUCUCCUCAUGGGCGAAGUCAGGAAAAGUGUCUCUCCUUCCUGUUCCUUCUGAAGCCAUCGUGGUUAUCCCAGGCAACUACAGUCAGCUUCUCUCAACCCAAGGGACUCAAUUCCAAAGAGGGAGCAGGGAGAGGGCAGCUGCCCG
rnacentral:lncRNA from 1 species